rnacentral:rRNA from 1 species
GGUUAAGCGACUAAGCGUACACGGUGGAUGCCCUGGCAGUCAGAGGCGAUGAAGGACGUGCUAAUCUGCGAUAAGCGUCGGUGAGGUGAUAUGAACCGUUAUAACCGGCGAUUUCCGAAUGGGGAAACCCAGUGUGUUUCGACACACUAUCAUUAACUGAAUCCAUAGGUUAAUGAGGCGAACCGGGGGAACUGAAACAUCUAAGUACCCCGAGGAAAAGAAAUCAACCGAGAUUCCCCCAGUAGCGGCGAGCGAACGGGGAGCAGCCCAGAGCCUGAAUCAGUGUGUGUGUUAGUGGAAGCGUCUGGAAAGGCGUGCGAUACAGGGUGACAGCCCCGUACACAAAAAUGCACAUACUGUGAGCUCGAUGAGUAGGGCGGGACACGUGGUAUCCUGUCUGAAUAUGGGGGGACCAUCCUCCAAGGCUAAAUACUCCUGACUGACCGAUAGUGAACCAGUACCGUGAGGGAAAGGCGAAAAGAACCCCGGCGAGGGGAGUGAAAAAGAACCUGAAACCGUG